rnacentral:SRP_RNA from 2 species
GGCUGGGUCCUGCGCAACGAAAACUAGUGAAACUGGUCAGGCCCGGAAGGGAGCAGCCAUAAGCUUUGUCUUUUGUGUGCCGCAGGGAAGCUCAGCCACC